rnacentral:rRNA from 1 species
AUUGAACGCUGGCGGCAGGCUUAACACAUGCAAGUCGAGCGGGGACUUCGGUCCUAGCGGCGAACGGGUGAGGAAUGCUUGGGAAUCUGCCCAGUAGCGGGGGAUAACGUUUCGAAAGGAACGCUAAUACCGCCUACGCCCUACGGGGGAAAGGGGGGGAUCUUCGGACCUCUCCAUCUUGGCUGAGCCCAAGUCGGAUUAGCUAGUUGGUGGGGUAAAGGCCUACCAAGGCGACGAUCCCUAGCUAGUCUGAGAGGAUGAUCAGCCACACUGGAACUGAGACACGGUCCAGACUCCUACGGGAGGAAGAAGUGGGGAAUAUUGGACAAUGGGCGAAAGCCUGAUCCAGCCAUGCCGCGUGUGUGAAGAAGGCCUUCGGGUUGUAAAGCACUUUAAGCGAGGAGGAAUGGCUCUUGGUUAAUAACCUUGAGCAGUGACGUUACUCGCAGAAUAAGCACCGGCUAACUCUGUGCCAGCCGCCGCCGUAACAC